ensembl:lncRNA
GUUCGGAUUGAGAUGCAGAUGUGUUGGGAUGGAGAUGGGAAUGGGAUUUGGGUGGGGAUGAUGAUGAGAUGGGAAUGGAAUGGGAAUGACACAGGGUUGGGGAUAGUAUGGAGAUGGAGAUGGGAGUGCGAAUGGAGAUGGGGAUACGGAUGCAGAUAGAGAUACACGUAGAGAUACGGAUGUGGCCAACAGCUGCCUCAAGGGAGGACAGCUCACCGGGGCCUGUCCUUUUGCUCUUCCAAAGUGAAGGCUGCCCCUGCCACUGUUGCACUGAGUUGCACAUCCUCAGCACCACCCUCAUCCCAGAGACUCCCAGUCCCACCCCUGGUGACGUGCAGGACAUCCCCACCAGCAAUCAUCAGUGCAGACCAGAGCCCAGCUGGCACAUGUGCCCUGCUGCCUGCUGUGUGGGUAGUAGGGCUGCAGAAGGGGGUCCCACCACCGAGUCAGGUUGGGGUCGGCUGCUCCCGAUGCCAGCAUUGGCCAUUUGUCCCGUGGGGUCCCUCUGCAGCCCCUCCAACAGCUCUCUCACCAAAUGGUUCUGCAGCUGCUGUGUGGGAUGAGGUGUAUCCGGCCCCAAAGGUGCAGGGAAUAAAGCACGUGGCCGACGUUAACCCAUUUCCCACCGGUGAGGAGGUCACAAAUGACUUCAAAUUGGUUGGCAGGGAUAGAGCAGGACUUCCUAACUGCGGCCAUGGACCUGUCUGGAGCCCUCAGAUCCCAAUGGCCCCGGUGUUGAACCACCCCCCUCCCCGCUCCAUAGUGAGCAUCCUGCAGUGCACCCCGGCUGAGAUGAUCGGAGCCUUUCCGUGCAUUCCUUUGCAGGACACCUCUGCCAAGAGGCAGAGUGAUGGGUAUCAGCUCCCCUCAGCUUUAUUUAGAUUUGGGAUCUCCCGUCCUAUCUCUUUCUCUGCCUAUCUCUUUCCCCUCUCGUGUUGAUGGGAAGCAUUUUGGGAUGGAGAACAUCCCUACCUGGGUUUACAUUUAUGCCUACACACCAUGCUCCUGAGAUUCCCUCUGUGCCACAGUAAAAACCAACGUUGUGAAUGACAAAACCUAGCACAGCUCCUGGGGCUGAGCUGGACCUGAUUGCUGUGCCGCACACCUGAUGCUGUGGACUGCCCCUGCCCUAAGCAGCAGGGUGAGGGGAAGGUGGGAGCAACAAAAAUGUUCUGGGAUGGGAGGGGAACCCAACGCCUGAAGCCUGGCAGGCCCAUUCCCACAGAGCAGUCCUGCAGGAGCUGCGGUACAUCUGAAAACUCAGCGGAAGGCUUUAGGAGCACAGGGUUGGAGGUGGCUGAGGUCACCCCACGGAGUGUCAGAGGCACGGGAUGUACAGAGAUUAUGUUUGUUAUUCAGAGCUGUGGACCCCACUGCUCUGCUGAAGAAUGGGGCAAAGCAAACAUUGGGUCUCCUUCAUCCUGAGGUAGGUCCAGGGUGGAAUGUCCAACUCCAGGUGGGAAAGCCAAGCCUGGGGUUGGAGCUCAGGUUGAACUGCUCAUCCAGACGUGGGGCAGCCCUUCCAGAUGUGGGGCUGCCGUCGCACUGCUGGCUGUGGUGUCAGGGUGAUGCUCGCCGCCCUAUCCAAGCUCGGGGUUGCUGGGAACGGGGCAGCACGGCUCCCCUGCCUGGUGGGGUUUCUUUCUAUGGAAAUGCCUGCAAGCAGCUGCCCUGCCGAGUGACUCAUUUCCUGCUCUUGUGUCACAUUCUGGUCAGGCCAGUUUGGCAAAGGCUUUUUUCUCUCCCUCGCUGCCUUUCUCUCCUUCUCUCCCCCACCGCGGAGGCCCGGGAUGUGCAUUUGCUCAGCCCCUGGCAGGAUGAGGCUGGAUUUUCAGGAAACUGCGUCAAAACUACAAACCUCCAAAAAAAAAAAAAAAAUCUAAACAAACAACAAUAAAGAAAGACAGAACGAUUUUCUUUCCCUCUUUUCUGAGAGCGAGGGAGGCGGGUGGCCUGGCGGGCUCCUCCUCGCUUCCCCCAAAGCGAAGCUCUCUGGACAGCGGCUCUGCUCACGUGGAGUUCUGUGUUCCCUGGUGGCUGCCCAGGGCUCUGGCUGCGCCACGUCCCCAGCAGCCAUGGGACUGACACAGGUUGGUCGGGACUGACAUAGGUUGGUCAGGACCGUGGCCCCAGCAUCCCUCCCUGCAGCCUUUUCUGCCCACCUCCAUCUCCGCAGCACAAGGCUGCCUUGCCCCCGUGGCGUGGUAGGACAGCAGGAGCGGGGCACGAUCCCAUCCAAGCCAAGGCAAACCCUCUGCAAUCUUUGCUCCCAAGCAAUUCUCAUCCUUCCUCUUCCUUUUCUGCAUGCUCUGUGCAAUUAAAGCAGGCUACAGCCAAAUGACCCGGCACCACACGCAUGCUAAAAAGCCCCCCGCCGGGCCGCUACCGAGCUUCCUUUGAACAGCCAUGUGUUGUUCCUAGGGCUGCAGGCAGCAUCUGCUGCCGUGCAAACCCAUGGCCCUGCUUGGUGCAGGGAAACUGAGGCAGGGAACGGGCAGGUGCUCGCCUGCAGCCCGUGCAUCUGCAGUGCUCGAAAGCCAAAGGGUUUUGUUUGCCCACAGCCAUGGGAAGAGCACAACGGUAUCAGCAUAAAUUAGGUCAGGAAGCAUUGCUAAUAAAAUGUCAAUCCUGGUUGUGUAAUGGGAGCAAUUAUGGGUUUAGGUCUUGUUAGGACACCAAGAAGGAAAACAUGGCUGCUCCGAGGGCAGCAGGAGCGCGAUGGCAAACAACGAGGAGGGUCCUGCUGAGGGAAGGAUGAAGCCGUUGUGGUGUCUGAGUUCCCUCGCCGCAUCACUGGGACAAACAAUGAGGGGAAGUGAGUGGUGGAUUCUUCAUUGCUUGAAGUCACCAAAUGAAGACAGGAUGUCUUGCUGGAACGCGUGCCUGAAUCAAAAACACAAGUUGUUGGGCCCAACGCGAGUAAUUGGGUGAAAUUCCGAAUACAGGAGGUCAGAUGGGAUGAUUUAGUGGUCCCCCUGGCCCCCGAAUCCACGGAAACAUCCUCGGCCAUAGCCGUUAAUUCUGCGGGUAGCGCAUCUACAGCCCCUCACGUCAUGUUGCGAAUAAUGAAAUAAAACCCUCAAUAAGCUGAAUAACAAGGAAACAAUUUCAAAUAAGAGUCUCCGAAAUCUCCUUUUAAGGCAAUGACUGGGAUUCCCACCGCUGGUGGUGCUCCCGA